rfam:Oryza barthii chromosome 3, whole genome shotgun sequence.
AACCACGCUAUCAAUGAAUGGAUUCACUCGCGAGAUGACGUGGUUGUUUCAUCUAGGACGAGGAUGUGGCAUCAUAUUACUAGCCAUGGCACGAAAUUAAUAGGAUGCCACGUCCUCAUCCUAGAUGGAACAACCACGUUCAUUGAUAGUUCAUUGAUAGUGUGGUU